UACGUAGGGACCAAGCGUUGUUCGGAUUUACUGGGCGUAAAGGGCGCGUAGGCGGCUUAACAAGUCACUUGUGAAAUCUCCGGGCUUAACUCGGAACGGCCAAGUGAAACUGUCAUGCUAGAGUGCAGAAGGGGCAAUCGGAAUUCUUGGUGUAGCGGUGAAAUGCGUAGAUAUCGAGAGGAACACCUGCGGCGAAGGCGGGUUGCUGGGCUGACACUGACGCUGAUGCGCGAAAGCUAGGGGAGCGAACGGG
rnacentral:rRNA from 1 species